rnacentral:rRNA from 1 species
UAAGCAUAUCAAUAAGCGCAGGAAAAGAAACCAACAGGGAUUGCCUCAGUAACGGCGAGUGAAGCGGCAACAGCUCAAAUUUGAAAUCUGGCCUCUUGGGGUCCGAGUUGUAAUUUGUAGAGGAUGUUUCGGGUACCGCCUCGGUUUAAAUUUCUUGGAACAGAAUGUCAAAGAGGGUGAGAAUCCCGUCUUGGACCGGCGGUAGGGCCUAUGUGAAACUCCUUCGACGAGUCGAGUUGUUUGGGAAUGCAGCUCAAAAUGGGUGGUAAAUUUCAUCUAAAGCUAAAUAUUGGCCAGAGACCGAUAGCGCACAAGUAGAGUGAUCGAAAGAUGAAAAGCACUUUGAAAAGAGAGUUAAACAGUAUGUGAAAUUGUUGAAAGGGAAGCGCUUGCAACCAGACUUGAGCGCGGCGGUUCCCCCUUGCUUCUGCUUGGGUUACUCCGCCGUGUCCAGGCCAACAUCGGUUCUGGGGGUCGGUCAAAGGCUCUGGGAAUGUAUCUACCCACGGGUAGACUUAUAGACCAGGGUGUCAUGCGACCUCCCGGGACCGAGGAACGCGCUUCGGCUCGGAUGUUGGCGUAAUGGUUGUCAGCGACCCGUCUUGAAACACGGACCAAGGAGUCUAACAUCUAUGCGAGUGUUUGGGUGUCAAACCCGGAACGCGGAAUGAAAGUGAACGGAGGUAGGAAGCUUCGGCUGCACUAUCGACCGAUCCUGAAGUUUACGGAUGGAUUUGAGUAAGAGCAUAGCUGUUGGGACCCGAAAGAUGGUGAACUAUGCCUGAAUAGGGUGAAGCCAGAGGAAACUCUGGUGGAGGCUCGCAGCGGUUCUGACGUGCAAAUCGAUCGUCAAAUUUGGGUAUAGGGGCGAAAGACUAAUCGAACCAUCUGGUAGCUGGUUCCUGCGA